CCUACGGGUGGCAGCCGUGGGGAAUAUUGGGCAAUGGACGCAAGUCUGACCCAGCAACGCCGCGUGAAGGAAGAAGGCUUUCGGGUUGUACACUUCUUUUAAGGGGGCAGAGCAGAAGACGGUACCCCUUGAAUAAGCCACGGCUAACUCCGUGCCAGCAGCCGCGGUCAUACGUAGGUGGCAAGCGUUGUCCGGAUUUCCUGGGUGUAAAGGGCGUGCAGCCGGGCCGACAAGUCAGAUGUGAAAUCCGCGGGCUUAACCCGCGAACUGCAUGUGAAACGAUUGGUCUUGAGUACCGGAGAGGUCAUCGGAAUUCCUGGGGUAGAGGUGAAAUGCGUAGAUAUAAGGAAGAACACCAGUGGCGAAGGCGGAUGACUGGACGGCAACUGACGGUGAGGCGCGAAAGCGUGGGGAGCAAACAGGAUUAGAUACCCUUGUAGUC
rnacentral:rRNA from 1 species